GAUUGAACGUUGGCGGCCAGGCUUAAACACAUGCAAGUCGAGCGGUAGCACAGAGAGCUUGCUNUCGGGUGACAAGCGGCGGACGGGUGAGUAACGCGUAGGAAUNUACCUAGUAGUGGGGGACAACAGUUGGAAACGACUGCUAAUACCGCAUACGCCCUAAGGGGGAAAGCGGGGGAUCUUCGGACCUCGUGCUAUUAGAUGAGCCUGCGUGAGAUUAGCUAGUUGGUGAGGUAAAGGCUCACCAAGGCGACGAUCUCUAGCUGGUCUGAGAGGAUGAUCAGCCACACUGGGACUGAGACACGGCCCAGACUCCUACGGGAGGCAGCAGUGGGGAAUAUUGGACAAUGGGCGCAAGCCUGAUCCAGCCAUGCCGCGUGCGGGAAGAAGGCCUUCGGGUUGUAAACCGCUUUCAUACGGAACGAAAUGGUUCAGGUUAAUACCCUGAAUUGAUGACGGUACCGUAAGAAGAAGCACC
rnacentral:rRNA from 1 species